GCCUUCUUAGCUCAGUUGGUAGAGCAGCUGAUUCGUAAUCAGCAGGUCGCGGGUUCAAGUCCCGUGGAAGGCU
rnacentral:tRNA from 1 species